rnacentral:miRNA from 1 species
UCCAACUCACUGAUCUUCAAUGUG